GUGUAUAGCGAAAUCCCGACAAACACGCACAAGCUGAAGCCAGUGGAAGACUGCAAGCAUUGCUAUGCAAAGAAGUUUGAACGUGAGGCCAUAGAAUUCUCCUGCCGUAAGGGGAAGAUCAAACUAGCCAACAUGGAAACACCACCCGAGCUCAUGAGGCUGUGGACGAGUGCAGACCCUGAUCCUAUUCAUUUUCGCGACAACAUCAGGUUUUUCAAUAGCCAUUUCUCAUUCACCUCACUAUAUUGUCACGUUGAUAGUGAUACAACAAACACAUGAAAGCACCCUCUCUAUAUAUUUCGUGCCCAUGGCCAAAUGUACCACAACAUACAGUCAUUUGGUAAACAAGAAGGUUUGGAUCGUAGUUGCCUAGAGCUCUACUUCUAUGAUGAUGACCCAGUUUAG
rnacentral:rRNA from 1 species